ACGUAGGUGGCAAGCGUUGUCCGGAUUUACUGGGCGUAAAGCGCGCGCAGGCGGACUGGUAAGUCUGGGGUGAAAUCUCACGGCUCAACUGUGAGCGGUCCCCGGAUACUGCCGGUCUUGAGGGGCUCAGAGGAGAGUGGAAUUCCCGGUGUAGUGGUGGAAUGCGUAGAUAUCGGGAGGAACACCAGUGGCGAAAGCGACUCUCUGGGGGCAACCUGACGCUGAGGCGCGAAAGCGUGGGGAGCAAACCGGA
rnacentral:rRNA from 1 species